rnacentral:lncRNA from 1 species
UCUAUUUAUAUUACAUACAGUUAUUCCUUUACUGUUACUUUACAUUUCUCUAUACAGAUCAUAGACAGUUAGUCCUUUAUUGUACUUUACAUUUAUAUGUUCAAUCAGAGCCCGUUAUCUUUUCUGUUACUUACGAUCACUCAUUUAAGCUAUAUACUGUAUAGUUAGUUACAUUCAGCUACUCAUUUACCGCAUAUUUUAUUGUUCUUUCAUGA